GUAUGGCGGCAAACGGCAUGGCAACUUUGUGAAAGAAACAUCGCCAUUGAUAAGUUGGAUUCAGCAUAUUGAAACAUCAUUUUGCACUACAAUUUAAAUUUGUUACCUAGUUAGUGUUUGAAAAAUCUGCAGGAAAGUUAGUUUUGGGAUAUACUCAACAAGCAAUAAUGUUGCUGCAGACCCGGACAAAAAUGCUGGUGCUCCCUAUGCUAUUUCAACACGUGAAAACAAGAUUUGGUUAACUAUUCUGAAGACUUCAUGUGUGGAAAGGAUUGAGUGCUGCGAACAAUCCCAAUUCUCCAUGGUGAAUGGAUGAUUAGAUUGUGUUGCUC